rnacentral:rRNA from 1 species
AUGAAGUUGGAUUCGCUAGUAAUCGCGCAUCAGCCAUGGCGCGGUGAAUACGUUCCCGGGGCCCUUGUACACACCGCCCGUCCAAGCCAUGGGAGCCGGGGGUGCCUGAAGUUCGUUACCGCAAGGAUCGACCUAGGGCAAAACUGGUGACUGGGGCUAAGUCGUAACAAGGUAGC